UACGUAGGUGGCAAGCGUUGUCCGGAAUCAUUGGGCGUAAAGCGCGUGUAGGCGGCCCGGUAAGUCCGCUGUGAAAGUCCAGGGCUCAACCCUGGGAUGCCGGUGGAUACUGUCGGGCUUGAGUCCGGAAGAGGCGAGUGGAAUUCCUGGUGUAGCGGUGAAAUGCGCAGAUAUCAGGAGGAACACCGAUGGCGAAGGCAGCACUCUGGGACGUGACUGACGCUGAGACGCGAAAGCGUGGGGAGCAAACAGG
rnacentral:rRNA from 1 species